rnacentral:rRNA from 1 species
UGCGUAGGCGGUUGAGUAAGUCUGGCGUGAAAUCUCCGAGCCCAACUCGGAAACUGCGUUGGAUACUAUUUAGCUAGAGGAGUGGAGGGGAGACUGGAAUACUUGGUGUAGCAGUGAAAUGCGUAGAUAUCAAGUGGAACACCAGUGGCGAAGGCGAGUCUCUGGACACAUCCUGACGCUGAGGCACGAAAGCCAGGGGAGCAAACG